rnacentral:rRNA from 1 species
UACGUAGGGUGCGAGCGUUGUCCGGAAUUACUGGGCGUAAAGAGCUUGUAGGCGGUUUGUCGCGUCUGCUGUGAAAUUUCGGGGCUCAACCCCGAACUUGCAGUGGGUACGGGCAGACUAGAGUGUGGUAGGGGAGACUGGAAUUCCUGGUGUAGCGGUGAAAUGCGCAGAUAUCAGGAGGAACACCGAUGGCGAAGGCAGGUCUCUGGGCCAUAACUGACGCUGAGAAGCGAAAGCAUGGGGGAGCGAACAGG